GCGGCUGUGGUCUAGCGGUCAUGACCGGAGCUUCCCAAGCUCUGAACCCGAGUUCGAAUCCCGGCAGCCGCA
rnacentral:tRNA from 1 species